CUGUAAGCCUGUGAAGGUGUGCUGUGAGGUAUGCUGGAGGUAUCAGAAGUGCGAAUGCUGACAUAAGUAACGAUAAAGCGGGUGAAAAGCCCGCUCGCCGGAAGACCAAGGGUUCCUGUCCAACGUUAAUCGGGGCAGGGUGAGUCGACCCCUAAGGCGAGGCCGAAAGGCGUAGUCGAUGGGAAACAGGUUAAUAUUCCUGUACUUGGUGUUACUGCGAAGGGGGGACGGAGAAGGCUAUGUUGGCCGGGCGACGGUUGUCCCGGUUUAAGCGUGUAGGCUGGUUUUCCAGGCAAAUCCGGAAAAUCAAGGCCGAGGCGUGAUGACGAGGCACUACGGUGCUGAAGCAACAAAUGCCCUGCUUCCAGGAAAAGCCUCUAAGCAUCAGGUAACAUCAAAUCGUACCCCAAACCGACACAGGUGGUCAGGUAGAGAAUACCAAGGCGCUUGAGAGAACUCGGGUGAAGGAACUAGGCAAAAUGGUGCCGUAACUUCGGGAGAAGGCACGCUGAUACGUAGGUGAAGCGACUUGCUCGUGGAGCUGAAAUCAGUCGAAGAUACCAGCUGGCUGCAACUGUUUAUUAAAAACACAGCACUGUGCAAACACGAAAGUGGACGUAUACGGUGUGACGCCUGCCCGGUGCCGGAAGGUUAAUUGAUGGGGUUAGCGCAAGCGAAGCUCUUGAUCGAAGCCCCGGUAAACGGCGGCCGUAACUAUAACGGUCCUAAGGUAGCGAAAUUCCUUGUCGGGUAAGUUCCGACCUGCACGAAUGGCGUAAUGAUGGCCAGGCUGUCUCCACCCGAGACUCAGUGAAAUUGAACUCGCUGUGAAGAUGCAGUGUACCCGCGGCAAGACGGAAAGACCCCGUGAACCUUUACUAUAGCUUGACACUGAACAUUGAGCCUUGAUGUGUAGGAUAGGUGGGAGGCUUUGAAGUGUGGACGCCAGUCUGCAUGGAGCCGACCUUGAAAUACCACCCUUUAAUGUUUGAUGUUCUAACGUGGACCCGUGAUCCGGGUUGCGGACAGUGUCUGGUGGGUAGUUUGACUGGGGCGGUCUCCUCCUAAAGAGUAACGGAGGAGCACGAAGGUUGGCUAAUCCUGGUCGGACAUCAGGAGGUUAGUGCAAUGGCAUAAGCCAGCUUGACUGCGAGCGUGACGGCGCGAGCAGGUGCGAAAGCAGGUCAUAGUGAUCCGGUGGUUCUGAAUGGAAGGGCCAUCGCUCAACGGAUAAAAGGUACUCCGGGGAUAACAGGCUGAUACCGCCCAAGAGUUCAUAUCGACGGCGGUGUUUGGCACCUCGAUGUCGGCUCAUCACAUCCUGGGGCUGAAGUAGGUCCCAAGGGUAUGGCUGUUCGCCAUUUAAAGUGGUACGCGAGCUGGGUUUAGAACGUCGUGAGACAGUUCGGUCCCUAUCUGCCGUGGGCGCUGGAGAACUGAGGGGGGCUGCUCCUAGUACGAGAGGACCGGAGUGGACGCAUCACUGGUGUUCGGGUUGUCAUGCCAAUGGCACUGCCCGGUAGCUAAAUGCGGAAGAGAUAAGUGCUGAAAGCAUCUAAGCACGAAACUUGCCCCGAGAUGAGUUCUCCCUGACCCUUUAAGGGUCCUGAAGGAACGUUGAAGACGACGACGUUGAUAGGCCGGGUGUGUAAGCGCAGCGAUGCGUUGAGCUAACCGGUACUAAUGAACCGUGAGGCUUAACCUUACAACGCCGAAG
rnacentral:rRNA from 1 species